rnacentral:rRNA from 1 species
UACGUAGGGUGCGAGCGUUAAUCGGAAUUACUGGGCGUAAAGCGUGCGCAGGCGGUGAUGUAAGACAGGUGUGAAAUCCCCGGGCUUAACCUGGGAACUGCAUUUGUGACUGCAUCGCUGGAGUGCGGCAGAGGGGGAUGGAAUUCCUGGUGUAGCGGUGAAAUGCGUAGAUAUCAGGAGGAACACCGGUGGCGAAGGCGGCUCUCUGGACCACAACUGACGCUGAGGCGCGAAAGCUAGGGGAGCAAACAGG